rnacentral:rRNA from 1 species
GGUUGAUCCUGCCAGUAGUCAUAUGCUUGUCUCAAAGAUUAAGCCAUGCAUGUCUAAGUAUAAGCAAUCAUACUGUGAAACUGCGAAUGGCUCAUUAAAUCAGUUAUCGUUUAUUUGAUAGUACCUUUACCUGGAUAACCGUGGUAAUUCUAGAGCUAAUACAUGCUAAAAAUCCCGACUUCGGAAGGGAUGUAUUUAUUAGAUAAAAAACCAAUGCCCUUCGGGGCUCUUUGGUGAUUCAUAAUAACUUAACGAAUCGCAUGGCCUUGCGCCGGCGAUGGUUCAUUCAAAUU